rnacentral:rRNA from 1 species
UAGGAAGAGGAGCGAGGGUUCUUGGUCACUUAGAGGAAGUAAAAGUCGUAACAAGGUCUCCGUUGGUGAACCAGCGGAGGGAUCAUUACCGAGUUUACAACUCCCAAACCCAAUGUGAACGUUACCAAACUGUUGCCUCGGCGGGGUCACGCCCCGGGUGCGUCGCAGCCCCGGAACCAGGCGCCCGCCGGAGGAACCAACCAAACUCUUUCUGUAGUCCCCUCGCGGACGUAUUUCUUACAGCUCUGAGCAAAAAUUCAAAAUGAAUCAAAACUUUCAACAACGGAUCUCUUGGUUCUGGCAUCGAUGAAGAACGCAGCGAAAUGCGAUAAGUAAUGUGAAUUGCAGAAUUCAGUGAAUCAUCGAAUCUUUGAACGCACAUUGCGCCCGCCAGUAUUCUGGCGGGCAUGCCUGUCCGAGCGUCAUUUCAACCCUCGAACCCCUCCGGGGGAUCGGCGUUGGGGAUCGGGACCCCUCACACGGGUGCCGGCCCCGAAAUACAGUGGCGGUCUCGCCGCAGCCUCUCCUGCGCAGUAGUUUGCACAACUCGCACCGGGAGCGCGGCGCGUCCACGUCCGUAAAACACCCAACUUUCUGAAAUGUUGACCUCGGAUCAGGUAGGAAUACCCGCUGAACUUAAGCAUAUCAAUAAGCGGGAGGAAGAAAGACCU